AUUAUACCUAAGAAAUUAUUAUUAAUUAUUAAAUAAGGUAAAAGACCCAGUGAUUGACACUAGCCUAGUUGUUUGACAGUUGCAAUUUCAUUCUAAUUAAAAAAAUUGAAUGUUCUCAA